rnacentral:sRNA from 1 species
GCAAGUAGGGGAUGUAGCUCAGAUGGUAGAGC